rnacentral:rRNA from 1 species
AACGCGAAGAACCUUACCUGGGCUCGAAAUGUAGUGGACUGGGGUAGAAAUAUCCCUUCCUAGCAAUAGGCUGCUAUAUAGGUGCUGCAUGGCUGUCGUCAGCUCGUGUCGUGAGAUGUUGGGUUAAGUCCCGCAACGAGCGCAACCCUUAUUACCAGUUGCCAUCAUUCAGUUGGGCACUCUGGUGAGACCGCCUCGGAUAACGGGGAGGAAGGCGGGGAUGACGUCAAGUCCUCAUGGCCUUUAUGUCCAGGGCUACACACGUGCUACAAUGGCCGGUACAAACCGUCGCAAACCCGUGAGGGGGAGCUAAUCGGAAAAAACCGUUCUCAGUUCGGAUCGCAGGCUGCAACUCGCCUGCGUGAAGCUGGAAUCGCUAGUAAUGGUGUAUCAGAAUGAUACCGUGAAUACGUUCCCGGGCCUUGUACACACCGAGACUA